CGCGCGCUUCCUAGUGACGCAGGCGGCGGGGCCGCGCACGCACGGGCCUGGGCGGGCCCGGAAACUUAUUUGGCGCUCGGCGGGGAGGCGGACGGAGCCGAGAAAUAAAGCCCGGCCUGGCCCGACGCGCGUGCGUGUGGGCGGGGGCGGGGCCCGCGGCGCCCUCGCUGGGUAGCUCGUUCCGCGGCCCCGCCCGCGGGCAUACUUGCUGGGCGGCCACACACCUGCGGGGUUUCGACCAACCCCUCCGUGGGUACGAGCGGGGGAGAACUGCGUAGGAAGACUUGUUUAAAGAUUGGGGAAAUGUGCGUGAACAGUAGCGACAAAAACCAGAUGCAGGUCCGCUCGUCAUCUCAAGCGUGUCGGAGGUCCCUACGCAGAGACGCCGGGAGGGCCUGCUCGAAAAAGCAGCGCAUCUCUGCACCCUUCCGCUCGGCGACUCCCAAUCCUGCAGUUGUUUCAUUUCUUAUAGCAGUAAGCCUUAGAAAGGGCUGUGACAUUUUUAUCUGAAUCUACGCAGUACCGUACAGUGUUCUUUAAGUGUUGGCCCCCAGCCGCGCUGUCAGUGCUGUAGCCAGUGGCCACAUGUGUUCAUUUAAAAUUAACAUUCAGUUUCUCAGCGCUGAGCCGUAGAAAGCCCAGGUGUAGGCUUAGGGACGCGCCGAGCAUUCUGCGCAUGCGCGCGCUCUAUGGGGGGGAAAGGCUGGAGUAUGAAAGGCCGUUGGUUUUCCAGAUGGAAGCAUCGUUUAGCGUGUAUGGAGUCCCUUUGACUUGGGAGCCAGGUACAACCGGGCCUUGCUGUUGGACUGGAAGGUGCAGUGGAGGCCGCAGGGUGGUGGUUGGUGGGAUUCAUUGGCCCCGCCGAGAGUGGGGCCAAAUUGUGGAGCAACCUGCUCUUGGCCUGAGGACUUCCGGAGGAAGCCAGCAUGGCGUGGGGCACAUUCUUUAAUCUUCCGGUGCUCCGGCACUCAGGGUAGUGCCCAGAGCUGGACCGAGGCUGUCAGUUCUCAGAACAGGGCAGGCACACCUGAGCUCUCCUGAUCUGCUCAAUAUCCUCGCUCUUGCUGCGAGCAGCUGCCCCAAAAACUUGGGUGUGGGAUGAAAGGCUGCCGGGUCCCUGAGUGCUCCCACUCGGGAACAGAGAAGGCAGGAAACAGAUGUCUUGUUAGGGCCAAGGCAUGUUUACACUCCAGUAGGAAGACACCUGAAGGCCAUCCUUGGACGUUUUCAAGCAAACUUCAUUUCGGUGAUGUUAUAAUUAGGAGACUUGCACUUCCAUUCUCUUUUCAAUAAUGUAGAGUGUACUCAAGCCAGUGAUGGGAAAAGUCUUUCUUUUUAAAGAUUACACUGUUGACGCUAUGUCAGUGCUGGUAUUUUAUUAUCCAGCAAAUAUGAGAGCAGGGAGGUGUCUUCUCUGUCAUUUAUCUGAGUUUCCCUGUCCUCACGUUCUGGACAUAGAUGCCAAUAAAGUCAACGGAGAAGGCCCAGAGGACGCUGGUCCUCCCAGGGGACCAGGCCCGUGACAUCGUGCCUGCACCAGGAGACUACUGCUCUCCCGCCUGGAAGAGCAAUGGCCACGAGCCCAGGGUCUGUCGGCACACCGGCUUCUCUGUCCCCGUGUUUCCACUGCUGCACGACCUCAGGUUUGUUACAGAGGUUGGGAAAUCACUGUCAUGCAAGUCGCCGACUCCAGACCCUGCACCCCGAGAGGGGGUGUCAUCACCAGGCCCCAGGAUGCCCUGUCCUCAGGCUCCAGCCACACAGGACAAAGGUAGGCCCAGUUGCCCAGCAACCCUGUCCCUUCCCUCCACAGCCCUGCACGCCCUCACCACUGUGGCUCCGAGCCCCCCAUGCCGGAGUAAAGUUUUGGCCCAGCACAGGGCGGACCGGCAGCUGAUGUAAGAGCCUGUGGCAUUCAUCAGUAGGGCUUCAGGGCACAUUGCAGCCAACUUUAUGAGAAACUACCCCUCAUGAAACUUCAGUUCAGUGUUAAGGAACGAGCUAUUAAGAUAUGCUUUCCUUUUCCAACCACCGAGCUCCCGGAAGCCAGAGUUUUUUUCAUGUACUGCAACCAUUCUGUUUUUUUAAAAUUUCAUUGUUUUUAAAGUGUUAUGUUACUAUGCAAUGGCUAUAUCAUUUUAAAACGAAUUACUGUUUUUUUAAAUUUCUGAGUUUUAAUUCUUAAUGUGGUAACUGUCAACCCAUAUAAUCCACAUAAACAAAGCUCUUUAGGGGUCCUCCAUAAACGUUUAAGAUUGUAAGGGGUACGUGAAACCAACCAGUUGGAGUUUCUUCAAAAAUCCUAGUGCGUAGCUCAUAACAGAGGAUUAUGCAGCCGUUGGAGUGGCGCUUCCGAAGAUGGGAAAGUGCUGACAUCGCUGCACAGUCCUCAGGCCCAGACGCUGACACACAUCGCUGCUGACAGGCGAGCCCUCUAGGGGGAAGCAGCAUUGGUGGGUCAAGAUUUCUGUCUUUAACUUUGCAGUGAUGCAGUGAACAUGUGUUAACAGAAAAAAAAAUGUAAUAAAAUAAUGUCUACCUAGUUUUCCUCAAAUUGGAUAUUGUGAAAAAUUGAAAGCAUUGUUGCACAUAACAUGUUACUGACCAGCCUGCAAGUUCUCCCAGGGCACGGGCUGGUCUCCAACCCAUCUCCGGUCUCCUUAGUGACACGUAAGUACUAAGCACUCACUAAAUUCGUGUUGAGGACACAAAUGCACGAAUGUUUUAACAUUAUGAAUUAUAUACCUACAAAAACUGCUGUUUUGGGUUGAAUUGUGUCCCCCCAGAGAUAGGUUGAAGUCCCAACCCCCAGGACCUCAGAAUGUGACUUUAUUUGAAAAUAGGGCCCUUGCAGAUGUGAUUACUGUAGUUAAAAUGAAGUCAUAUUGGAUUAGGGUGGCCCCAAAUCCAAUGGCUGGUGUCCCACGGAGACAGACACGCACCGGGGGAGACAGCCCUGUGACCCCAGAGGCUGAGAUCGGCGUGAUGCAUCUACUGGACAACUGCCAGCAUCCAGCUGCACACCAGCUCCAGUUCCUAGUGCCAGGGGAGCACCGCUGCUGCGUGGAGACCAUCACAGUGCCAACCACCAGGGGCAGAGGUCCAAACUCUUCUACCCUCCGUAUCCUGGCAUCAGAGUUGCCAAGGAAAGCACAAGGCAGCCGAGCACCCAGCAGACGAGCUUUACUCAUGCAGAGCAGACAGACAAGGUCCUUUUCAGCAGUGGGCCGUGCCCAUGCCAGCGGGCGGUUGGCCUGCCUGCACCCCUUAAGACCAUUCUUAAGUGGCCCUGCAGGGGUUGAAAGAUGGUCUUCCCAACAGAGAAGCUAGGAGAGGCAAGGGGGAUCCUCCCCUACUGGUUUCAGAGCACAGCCCUGUGACACCUUGACCUUGGACUUCUGCCCUCCAGAACUGUGGGAAAGUAAGUUUCAGUUGUCUUAAGUGCCCCCGUUUCAGGUACUUGUUACAGCAGCCCUAGAAAACUAACUGUUUGGUAGCAAAAUUAUUUUUCUUUAGCAAACAAAGAAACAGCUAUGAUUUGUAUGACUGUUUUCCACCUGACACUGUCUGACAAGGAGAUGUGCAGAUGGCUGGAGAACGGCCCUGUGUGGGGACAGGCAUCUGUCCAUGCUACCAUUCCACCCACUUUGCUGGACCGCCUGUCACGGGGGGCAGGGGACACAGAGCCAUGGGGCAUGCACCUGGGAGUCUAGGAUCCCCCCACAUCCUAGCAAGACCCACAGCCCUGAGGUUGCAGUGAGAAGGGCAAGCUUCAGACCUCAGACCCUGACCUUUGGUCCGUAGCACCAACCUGGGCCAGCAGGUAGGCUAGGCCCUGGGGAGAGUAGGGACAGCCCCAGGCCAGCCCCGCCAGGGGGGCCCUGACUUCUCCCUUCCACCCCUGCUGUCUCCUGGAGCUUGUGUGUCCUUUAUACAUUCAUUCCUUCAAAUCGCUGUUGUCACUAGAACUAGUCAUAAUCAUGGUAAAAAGAGCUUGAUAGCUGGGCUCAGUUCGGAGCUGCAGCUGCACUCACCACUCACUCCCAGGCGGCGGCCUCCAACCCAUCCCCCAGUCCUGCUCACUGGGAUGGCGCAACUGUUGCUUAAACACACAGUUUUUUUUUUCUUUAAUCGUUCAUUUAAUUUUAAGUUCACUUUCACUACGUGAUGAGAUGGGUGCAUAUUACACUAGGCUUCCACUAUGAGAGAGCUGCCACGGCUAAAACAAAUACAGCCCUCAGUCCCUUUCCGCUUCCCUUUCUGAGUCCCACAAAAGCCCCAUGUGGGCACUGCUGGGUUCCACUCCUGGCUCAUCCGUUCCCUCUGGAGGGAGGCUAUCUCGUGGGUCCCUACUUCCCCCCCCCCCCGAAGCCCACUGCAGGGGACCACCCCUUGCUCCCUGGCUUGGCCCCCAUAGGUUUCUGCAGGAUGUAAGCUGGGGCUCUGAGGGCUGUAGCCACCUGGUUUCUGAGGUGCUGGCCCUGGGUCCUACAAGAACCUGUAGUCUGUGUCCGCACACUUUCCACCAAGAGGAUGGUCGCAGGGCACCUGCCCCCAGGACCCAGCUGUGGGGUAGGACUGCUAUGGAGAAGGGGAGGAUGCUGCAGUGGCACAAAAAAAUGGACAGCCCUCAUGGCCAGGCAGGUGGCAGUCCUCAAAGGCCAGCCCUGAGGGAUGUGGCGGUCCCCGGGGCUGAAGGAGGGGAAGGAGCCCAGUCCAGGAGGGGGUUGGCAGGGAAAGCCUAGAGUCAGGCCUCCAAACUACAGGCUGGCCAGAGGGGGCCAUGAGCCAGGAACACCAAGGAUGGAACACCAGGAUGGGGAGGUGGCUUGGGAAUCCUGCCCCCUGCCCCCUGUUGUCUCCUAGGGGCUCCCUGCAGGCCACCAGUGACUGUCACUCAUAGGUGGCCAGAGGUGAGCCUGAAAGCCCAGUGGCCAGAGCAUUGUGGGAGGGCACAGGGCACGGGAAGGGGCCAAGACUCCAAAGGGCUCUAAGGACAGAUAUGCAGAGUGGAAGGAGAGGAUAGAUGGCAGGAGCUGGGCUUUCCCCACACAGGUGCUCAGCCAGAGGCUCUUGGAAGGAGGGCACUUCUGGAAAGGGGCCAGCAGGGAGUGUCAUGCUCCCCACAACCGUC